rnacentral:rRNA from 1 species
GAUGAACGCUGGCGGCGUGCCUAAUACAUGCAAGUCGAGCGAACAGACGAGGAGCUUGCUCCUUCGACGUUAGCGGCGGACGGGUGAGUAACACGUAGGUAACCUACCUAUAAGACUGGGAUAACUUCGGGAAACCGGAGCUAAUACCGGAUAAUAUUUCGAACCGCAUGGUUCGAUAGUGAAAGAUGGCUUUGCUAUCACUUAUAGAUGGACCUGCGCCGUAUUAGCUAGUUGGUAAGGUAACGGCUUACCAAGGCAACGAUACGUAGCCGACCUGAGAGGGUGAUCGGUCACACUGGAACUGAGACACGGUCCAGACUCCUACGGGAGGCAGCAGUAGGGAAUCUUCCGCAAUGGGCGAAAGCCUGACGGAGCAACGCCGCGUGAGUGAUGAAGGUCUUCGGAUCGUAAAACUCUGUUAUUAGGGAAGAACAAACGUGUAAGUAACUGUGCACGUCUUGACGGUACCUAAUCAGAAAGCCACGGCUAACUACGUG